GAUUUCUGGUACGGCGCACUUGGCCCGCUUCGGUUACGGAGUUGAGUGCCGGUGUGCGCCUGCCAUCCUUCUGGGGUACGACUCUCCCUUCACUGGGUUGGGCCGGAAUCCAGAUCAUUUACUUUGAAAAAAUUAGAGUGUUUAAAGCAGGCUUACGCUAUGAAUACAUUAGCAUGGAAUAAUAAUUUAGGACUUUGGUCUUACUUUGUUGGUUUCUAGGACUAAAGUAAUGAUUGAUAGGGACAGUUGGGGGUGCUAGUAUUCAGCGGCCAGAGGUGAAAUUCUUGGAUUCGCUGAAGACUAACUUAUGCGAAAGCAUU
rnacentral:rRNA from 1 species